rnacentral:lncRNA from 1 species
UUAAAUCUUAAAACAAUAUAUAAAUAGUUUCAAUAAUGCCAUAAAUAAUAAAUAGUAUUUAUUAUGUAACAACAAAUGAUGUUUUAUUCCGCGCGGGGUUUUAUAUCUUUGGUUACAUCUAGUUCCUAAAUAUGUUUACAUAUUGGUUUGCUUAAUUUGCUUAAUUUCUUAUGUGCAUUUGUUUUACAGCAUAACUGUUGUGUUUUUAGAUUUCUGAUGAUUUGGGAUAGCAGCUUAAACCUAUUUGGUGACUCAUGUUUGGCUCUAUUUGUUGUUAUAUUUUGUUUAUGAACUAUAUUGGCAACAUGUUAUUACGUUAAUGUUAUGGAGGGAGUGUGUCGUGAUAGGCUGAUGUUGGGUUUGGAGGGGAGGGGUAGUUUCAUCUGUAAGUUAUGUUCGUUCAGUUGUUUGUCUAAGUAAAUAUUUGUAAUGAGUGUAUUGUUGCUUGCUCUGUGUAGAAUGUUACACUCUUGUAAGUUACUAAGAGUAGUUGACUUUUAGUUAAGAAAACAUGUGGUGCAGAAUAAAUUGCCACCUAUAAUGGAGCUUCGUUUCUUACAUGCUUGAAGCUGAGCCCAUAAAGCUUCAUACACGCCAAAUAUGUGAACUCGUUCUCAUACAUAUGAUAUUAAUUUUCUUACCUUUCUCGCCCUCCUAUAUUGUGCCUUUCAACAAUGCAUUGUGGUAUGUGUUGUUGUUAGCAUGAGCCGAUGGAAUAGUCUUUAAGGCUGGAGGUAAGCCUGUGAUUAAAGUACGAUGGGAUUAAUGUUGUUUUCGUGCAGUCCUUCAGGUGUAGCGUUAGAUGUAGCGUUGGACGUGAUAGUUUCUCAUAGCUCGCGGCGAUCCUUUCACGCUGAUUGUUUUUGGAGCUUUGAGUGAGUGAUCGGUUCUUCGAGGAGGGGUUUCUAGUCAUCUUGUGAGAGAGAUGGUGCUAUUGCAGUGAAGGAUACGAAAGUAUGUUAUGAAAAAAACACAUAAACUGGUUAAUAAAAUGGGAGUUAAGGAAUUCAUAUAUUUGUUGGAAGCCUUUUGGGAUUGCUUUUUUUUUUAAUUUAAGUGCUUGUAAUAUUUCUCUAAUUGUUGGGCGUGCCACAUUUCUCAGCUUUGGUACUAUAAGAAAACUCAGCAGAUGAAAUGAUAGUAUCAUGUGGAAAUAGUGGUAGCCUACUAUGUAACUUGAAUCUCCGUACUGGCCA